rnacentral:rRNA from 1 species
GAUGAACGCUGGCGGUGUGCCUAAUACAUGCAAGUCGAGCGUACAGACGAGGAGCUUACUCCUCUGACGUUAGCGGCGGACGGGUGAGUAACACGUGGAUAACCUACCUAUAAGACUGGGAUAACUUCGGGAAACCGGAGCUAAUACCGGAUAACAUGUUGAACCGCAUGGUUCAACAGUGAAAGACGGUCUUGCUGUCACUUAUAGAUGGAUCCGCGUCGCAUUAGCUAGUUGGUAAGGUAACGGCUUACCAAGGCAACGAUGCGUAGCCGACCUGAGAGGGUGAUCGGCCACACUGGAACUGAGACACGGUCCAGACUCCUACGGGAGGCAGCAGUAGGGAAUCUUCCGCAAUGGGCGAAAGCCUGACGGAGCAACGCCGCGUGAGUGAAGAAGGUCUUCGGAUCGUAAAACUCUGUUAUUAGGGAAGAACAAAUGUGUAAGUAACUAUGCACGUCUUGACGGUACCUAAUCAGAAAGCCACGGCUAACUACGUG